GACGAACGCUGGCGGCGUGCCUAAUACAUGCAAGUCGAACGCAGUGGGGACGGGUGAGUAAAACGUGGGUAACCUCCCAUCAGAGGGGAUAACACUUGGAAACAGGUGCUAAACCGAUAGUGGUGGAGGACCCCGCGGUGCAUUAGCUAGUUGGUGAGGUAACGGCUCACCAAGGCCACGAUGCAUAGACGACCUGGGAGUGUGAUCGGCCACACUGUGACUUAGACACGGCCCAGACUCCUAAGGAAGGCAGCAGUAGGGAAUCUUCGGCAAGGGACUAAAGUCGGACCGAGCAACGCCGCGUGAGUGAAGAAGGUUUUCGGAUCGUAAAACUCUGUUGUUAGAGAAGCGGUAUCUAACCAGAAAGCCACUGCUAACUACGUGCCAGCAGCCGCGGUAAUAC
rnacentral:rRNA from 1 species